UCUAAAAUUAGCAUAAUACAACAUCCGGUCGGGUAGAUUCAGGUAUUCCUCUAGUCGAGUUUUGUCUUUCGAGUGGUCAAGUAAAACUUUUGUUUGUGAGUGUGAGAACUAAACAGUUAGCAAAAACAAGAAUCUCUCCCGUGUUGUGUAUAGAGUACACGCCGCGCUUUCUGAUAUUUUCAAGGGACGUUUUAUUAAUUUUUGUAUAAGACACCGAUUGAAAAAGAACUAAAAAUAUGGCUAGAAGACGUUACCUAACAGAUGAUGAGCUGUAUAGAAUUCUGCAUGAUGAAGACUCAGAAACGGAGCCAACUGAAUUAGAAAAUGAAGAUAUUUCAGAAACGGAUGAAGAAGUAGUUGCGUUCAGUGGUCACGACUCUGAAUCUGAAAUUGAACUUCUCGCGGACUGUAGCAAUACAGAAGAUUUUCCUAAUGAUCCUGGAACUAGUUUGAUGUCAUCUAAUGACAACUUUAUAGGAAAAGAUAAAUCGAAAGUGAUUGAUUUUUGUCUUACAUUCUUGUUAAAUUUUGUAAAUAAAUUUUUAUAUCUAAAGCGUCAUAUGUUGUUUAAUUAUUGAAAUAAUAAAAUGAUAAAGGAAAUGUCAACAUUUCUACUUAAUAAAAAACAUUAAUUUAACAUUUAAACGACACAUCUAUUCAUUGUGUACAAAAUACACGACGCGCCCGC